rnacentral:lncRNA from 1 species
AUGCCGCGCAGGAGAGAACCCCGGCAGUGUCACCGUAACUUCUGCGCGUUUCGGCCUCCUGGCGAGUGUGUGAAUGGGAAGAGCGAGCGUCCCGCGCGGCCGCUUCCAGCCCCCGGCCGCCGGCCGCACCGCGGUCCUUUGUUUCUGCAGGAGCUGCGGUGGGGCAGAGCUCCCAGGCGGGGGCGGAGAUUCUCCCGGGGCCUCGCCCGGGGCCCCUGUGCCAGAAGGGACAUUCUCACGCGCUUUCACGUCCCGAGAUGGACCCUGCACGGACCCCGCCUUCAAAGGCUUGGGCUUCUGGCCCCGAGAGAGACCUAGGACAGAAGGUUUUCUCAGGCACCCCUUUUGGCAGGAUGAAUGAGUUGGUGAAUUCUCCAUGCAUGGGGUUGGCGAUGGUGCUGUCUGGAGCUCUUCAAAUGCGCAUGGAGUUAGGGGCAGAGGGUGCAUCAACGCCAGGCACUGCAAAUCUUCGUCCCUCCCCAGCCGAUGUGCCCCACAGAAAGCCUUUCUCAAGCCUCCGCUUCUUCAGCGCGAUUACUGAGCCGGUCCUCACCCCCAGCCAGGCUUGAGGACUCGGUCACUAAUUUUUUCACACUGUCCGCGCGUGGCGAUUGAUUUCUCAUGGUUAUUUGCAAAGGCACAAAUACAAACACCAUUAACUGGUAAUAAAACUAGCCAGCCAUUUCUAACUCCCAGUGUCGGCAACUGCUCUGUGGACUUCUGGGAUCCUCGUUGUUUUCCUAGGCCCUGAUAAAGCAAACGUUUCUUUUGAUGCUAAAGUGCCAAGGGUGGCAACUUUGUUAUUCCAAAAUUUAUGGAAUGAUGGGGUCUGGGAGGAUUAGGGGAAGGAAG